GAAGGGGCCAGAAGGAUGAUGCUCCAAGAAGUGCAGAGGGGUUGCCUCCCUUUGAAGCAAACUUUGAACCAUGGAGAGGGAGGCCGGACAGAAGGUGACAAGUAACAUUCCAGAUGGCAGAGUCUCCUUCAGCCUGAGCCUCUCAUGACCAGAUGCAAGCAGAGCCCUAGGCUGGAUGCCCAGGCUGUCUCUCGUGGUGGUGUAUCGUGGCUAUCACUGUGCAUCAGCAGAGCACUGGGACUCUAGUUGAUUGGGUGAUAUUUCACUUGGAGACCAUCCUCCCUUCGCUGGUGACCUCAUCAUCAGUCACAUGUCACCACACUGGAGAAAUUAAAUCUCGACCUUCGUGGCAACACUAGUCUCCACCUAUUGAUGGACAGCUCCUUUGUCCUUCAGCUGCCCUUUAACUGUGCAGAGGUCCUAUUAAGCCAUCAAAGCCCACAGCUACCAUGUGGGCAUGUCCAACAUGAAGGAACAAAACAGAGCUUUUGGCGGGGGGGGACAAGAUUUCCUUUCCUUGUUACUUCAUUCUUUUUCAUUCGUAGGAAAUGGGAUGCCUCUUCAAAGAGAAUGCUCUUUGAGAGAAGAAGGUUGAAAGAAAUGAGUCACUGGGAGAUCAGGGCUAUUUAUUGUGGAUAUUUGUCUCUUGAAGGCUCUUAGAAUGUGUGUAUCUAUUAGAACCAUGAUCAUUGACAACAUGGCUUCUCUUUUAUUUGGUGUUAGGCUGCACUUCUCUGCAGAAUACCUUGGCUUCCAUUAAUUGCUUAACUUUGGAAACUUAACCAAGCAGGGAAGAGGGAGGCUAUGUGGGGAAAGAGAGGGCUGGAGCACAGCAACCCCAAUGAGACCUGAGGCAAUCUCAGAUCUCAGUUUCCCCUGCUGGAGAAUGGGGCUGGAGGUAACGCUUACCACACUGACUGGUUACAAGGAGUCAAGGAGUAAUGUAUGAAAGAUAGCUGCUGCUUCGUCAGUGCCACAGAGGGUUUUGUUGAAUAAUUAAUAGGCUCUGUCUGUCACUAAGAAUGUCUUAAUGGUUUACUGGCACUUCUUUGGGCCAGGCACUGUGUUUCACGUGCUUUAAAUUUUUUCAUUUGAUCUUUACAGUAAUUUAUAAUAGUAUCCUCAUUGUACAGAGAGAAAAAUCAAGGUUUAGGACUAGUAACUAGGUUACUAGGUAUAGGUUGAUACAGCUAGCAAGUGGCAUAACCCCUGAACUCCAGGCUCCCUGCUGCAUCCACCACACUACACUACUCCUGCCAGAAGCUUUCAGUGUAUUUUUACUCCCCAAAACCUUGCACACAAGGAUGAACCCUUGAACCAGAAUACACAGCUUUGAUAAACUGUAUCUGAUAGAGGAGCAGAGGCCUGGAUUUGAAAACUGGUUCUACCGCCUACUGAUUCUGUGACGUGGGGAAGCUUAUUUAUCCCCAGCACUCAGUUUCUCAUGUUUGAUGGAUGCUCAGAGAUUCUGCUCCCUAAGGUGAUCCUGAGGAUUGGCCGAGAUGCAGAUCAACAAUGUCUCACAAAUAAUGUUUCUCAAUCUGUUCAGUGAAACUUGGCUGGGACUUAGGUGAGGGUUAUUGGAUUGGAGAAUCUCCUUAAGGAUGGGUUUGUACUGUAUUAAAUAAACCAGGCUGCUGUCAUAGAAGAACCAACUACUGCAAUUUGUCCCACUCCUUCUGAGUCCUACAAGUUCAGGCCUAGAGUCUGCACGAGAAACUGCUUAGUGUUUUCAAGUAAUCGGCCACCACAACAACCAAGAGAGUUUGUUGUAAAUGCCAAUAGUGAUAGACUGAAUUUGAGGAAAAAAAAAAAAAAAAAAAAAAGAAGAAGAAGAGGGGGGGAUUUAUUGACCAGAGAAAAAACAAGCCAAAGCCUUGGCUAAUUUGUGUAAUCAGCUUUAUCAAUUUGCAUAAAUUGUGCAUCAGGCUAUAUUCCUCUUGGGCAUAAUAAGCCCAAAUUUAGUUUUUCUAAUUUUAAAGUCAUCAGUCGCUUUUUUUUGCUUCUUCUGUUCCUUUCUGGGACUCGUGUGGGUCACACCUCCAUGCAUCUGUCAGGUGGUCUAUGAGUCCCUAAUUCUCAGGGACCCUGUCAGUGCCCGGCUAUAGCAUCUAAUGCUUAUUUUCCAAAAUUGGUCCAGCCUCGACCCUCUACCCUCCCCACUAAUUCAUGCCUUUUUGUCUAGAUUUCAUAUGCCCCUUUUUUUGUUAUGUCUUCAUUCAGAUUAAAAUCUUUGAAAUAUUUUAAAAUGAACCCCUUCCACUUGCUGUGCCUUUCUGCCACAUCCUUUCAAAUUACUCUGGCCAAUUCUAGAUUGUUCCCUAGCAGGCUCUCUGCCUUAGAUUCUCUGCCUCAGAUUCCAUUGCUUCCUCUCCUUACUUCUUUCUCAACACUCAUUAUUUCUGCUAAGGGUCUCUAAACAGUUCUAAAGGGUCUCAGAAGGCUUUGCUUCUGCUUUGAGAUUAUAAGAUGGAUUGCAAUAUUGAGCAUCUUUUCAUGUGCUUUUUGGCCAUCUGUCUGUCUUCUUUGGGGGAAGAGGGAUGAAUUAGGAGGUUAGGAUUGAUAUAUACACACUACUAUAUAUAAACUAAACAGGUAACCAGAACAUACUGUAUUGCACAGAGCAAUCAAUACUCUGUAAUAAUCAAUAUGGGAAAAGAAUCUGAAAAGGAAUGGAUACGUGUGUGUGUGUGUGUGUGUGUGUAUGAUUCACUUUGCUAUACACCUGAAACUACCACAAUUUUGUAAGUCAACUAUAUUCUAAUAAAAUUUUAAUUUUAAUUUAA
rnacentral:lncRNA from 1 species